rnacentral:rRNA from 1 species
AACGAACGCUGGCGGCAUGCCUAACACAUGCGAGUCGAACGAGACCUUCGGGUCUAGUGGCGCACGGGUGCGUAACGCGUGGGAACCUGCCCUUAGGUUCGGAAUAACUCCCCGAAAGGGGUGCUAAUACCGGAUAAUGUCUUCGGACCAAAGAUUUAUCGCCUUUGGAUGGGCCCGCGUUGGAUUAGCUAGUUGGUAGGGUAAAAGCCUACCAAGGCGACGAUCCAUAGCUGGUCUGAGAGGAUGAUCAGCCACACUGGGACUGAGACACGGCCCAGACUCCUACGGGAGGCAGCAGUGGGGAAUAUUGGACAAUGGGCGAAAGCCUGAUCCAGCAAUGCCGCGUGAGUGAUGAAGGCCUUAGGGUUGUAAAGCUCUUUUACCCGGGAUGAUAAUGACAGUACCGGGAGAAUAAGCGCCGGCUAACUCCGCG